rnacentral:rRNA from 1 species
AGUGAACGCUGGCGGUAGGCCUAACACAUGCAAGUCGAACGGCAGCACAGUAAGAGCUUGCUCUUACGGGUGGCGAGUGGCGGACGGGUGAGGAAUACAUCGGAAUCUACUUUUUCGUGGGGGAUAACGUAGGGAAACUUACGCUAAUACCGCAUACGACCUACGGGUGAAAGCAGGGGAUCUUCGGACCUUGCGCGAUUGAAUGAGCCGAUGUCGGAUUAGCUAGUUGGCGGGGUAAAGGCCCACCAAGGCGACGAUCCGUAGCUGGUCUGAGAGGAUGAUCAGCCACACUGGAACUGAGACACGGUCCAGACUCCUACGGGAGGCAGCAGUGGGGAAUAUUGGACAAUGGGCGCAAGCCUGAUCCAGCCAUACCGCGUGGGUGAAGAAGGCCUUGGGGUUGUAAAGUCCUUUUGUUGGGAAAGAAAAGCAGCAGGUUAAUACCCCGCUGUUCUGACGGUACCCAAAGAAUAAGCACCGGCUAACUUCGUG